rnacentral:rRNA from 1 species
GAAGACUCUACUUGACUAGCUGAGAGGAGGUGCAUGGCCGUCGUCAGUUCGUACUGUGAAGCAUCCUGUUAAGUCAGGCAACGAGCGAGACCCACGCCAACAGUUGCCAGCUCGUCCUCCGGGAUGGUGGGGACACUGUUGGGACCGCCUCUGCUAAAGAGGAGGAAGGAAUGGGCAACGGUAGGUCAGCAUGCCCCGAAUUAUCUGGGCUACACGCGGGCUACAAUGGGUGGGACAAUGGGUAUCGACACCGAAAGGUGAAGGCAAUCUCCUAAACCCAUCCGUAGUUCGGAUUGUGGGCUGCAACUCGCCCACAUGAAGCUGGAAUCUGUAGUAAUCGUGUCUCAAAAUGGCACGGUGAAUAUGUCCCUGCUCCUU